CGACUGUGAAAGCAAUUUUGUACUGCAUCCUGAGAAGAAGACUUUUUAUGACGUAGAAAAUUGUCCAAAUCACAAAACAAAUGGUAGACCGUUGGAGCAAGAUCUGGCGAAUACGGAGACUGACGAAUGUAUGUCCACACUAUACAAAAUAAAUAAAAGAGGGCCUAGUAUGGAACCAUGUCGAACUCCUCUUUUUAUGUUACUACACUUUGAAUAGCGAACUCUACCAUACUCUUCUGUGAUUACAACUUUCUGAGUUCUAUGACUGAGGUCGGAUUUUUUUAAGUUAACUUGGAAGUUUGUUUUUUCACUCCUUCAAGAGACUGUGGACUUAAGUAUAUGGUUUUAAUUGAUCAAGAUAAGGGUUUUGACAGACGGACGGGCUGACAACAAAGUGAUCCUACAAGGGUUCCGUUAUUUCCUUUUGAGGCAUGGAACCCUAAAAAACGCGUACACCUUUCUAAUAGCCGAUGUUGAUACCGGUGCUGCAAGUGAUUGUGGA